UGAGUAACCUGCCCUUAACUCUGGGAUAAGCCUGGGAAACUGGGUCUAAUACCGGAUAUGACUCCUCAUCGCAUGGUGGGGGUGGAAAGCUUUAUUGUGGUUUUGGAUGGACUCGCGGCCUAUCAGCUUGUUGGUGAGGUAAUGGCUCACCAAGGCGACGACGGGUAGCCGGCCUGAGAGGGUGACCGGCCACACUGGGACUGAGACACGGCCCAGACCUCCUACGGGAGCAG
rnacentral:rRNA from 1 species